AACACGAAGUGAGUGGCGAACGGGUGAGUAACACGUGGGUAACCUGCCCAGAAGUAGGGGAUAACACCUGGAAACAGAUGCUAAUACCGUAUAACAGAGAAAACCGCAUGGUUUUCUUUUAAAAGAUGGCUCUGCUAUCACUUCUGGAUGGACCCGCGGCGUAUUAGCUAGUUGGUGAGGUAAAGGCUCACCAAGGCAGUGAUACGUAGCCGACCUGAGAGGGUAAUCGGCCACAUUGGGACUGAGACACGGCCCAGACUCCUACGGGAGGCAGCAGUAGGGAAUCUUCCACAAUGGACGCAAGUCUGAUGGAGCAACGCCGCGUGAGUGAAGAAGGGUUUCGGCUCGUAAAGCUCUGUUGUUAAAGAAGAACGUGGGUAAGAGUAA
rnacentral:rRNA from 1 species